CCCUUAGAUGUUCUGGGCUGCACGCGCGCUACACUGAAGCUAUCAACACGUUUUCCCUCCCUGAGAAGGGCGGGUAACCUUUUGAAUCAGCUUCGUGGUAGGGAUCGGGGCUUGCAAUUGUUCCCCGUGAACCAGGAAUUCCUAGUAGACGCGAGUAAUAAGCUCGCAUCGAUUAAGUCCCUGCCCUUUGUACACACCGCCCGUCGCUACUACCGAUUGAACGUUUUAGUGAGGCAUUUGGACCGACGCAUCUCAGUUUAACCGCUGGUUUGUGUUGGAAAGACUUCCAAACUUGAGCGUUUAGAGGAAGUAAAAGUCGUAACA
rnacentral:rRNA from 1 species